AUCAACUUUACACCUGGGCUGCAGUUAGUCAACCCCCACACACUCACUAGAUUAUAUCGAAGGGCAGUUUCCCAGGAGAGUCCCAGCUGCUUGGCCACCAUCUAAACCUCCUGAUGAGGAACACAGGCCUAUGGAUGCUGACACAGAGAAGCCUGAGGUGCUGAGGCUGACCAUCUGAAGUCCGUAGAGUGAAAUCUCCUAGAAGGACAGGCUGGAAAGGAAGUUAGAGAGUAAUGUGCUUGCUCCAGAAGUUUGUAGCAGAAAUGUUAAUAAGAAGGGAUCCUUUCCAGUUAUCUUUUCUCCUUAUCUUCUCUCUCUUCAUUUCCCUUUACUUAUUUGAUGCAACCCACCCCCACCACAGUGGUUUUUCUGGAGCCUCUAUUCAUAUCUCUAUCAUGUGAAUUACUUAGGUUUAGAUCUGAUCUGUAUCUACUAUCUGUCUUCUGUGUAGACUACUAACAUUUCAAGACCUUUGGAUACAUUAUAUACUUAAAUAUUGAGUGAAUAAAUGAAGAUCUUUUGUUGAAAAA